rnacentral:rRNA from 1 species
GAUCAUGGCUCAGGACGAACGCUGGCGGCGUGCUUAACACAUGCAAGUCGAGCGGGGAUAUCUGGAGUGCUUGCACACUGGAUAUUCCAGCGGCGGACGGGUGAGUAACGCGUGAACAAUCUGUCCCAUACAGGGGGAUAACAGAUGGAAACAUCUGCUAAUACCGCAUAAGACCACGAUGCCACAUGGCGACGGGGGUAAAAGGAUUUAUCCGGUAUGGGGUGAGUUCGCG